rnacentral:rRNA from 1 species
GAUGAACGCUGGCGGCGUGCCUAAUACAUGCAAGUCGAGCGAACAGACGAGGAGCUUGCUCCUCUGACGUUAGCGGCGGACGGGUGAGUAACACGUGGAUAACCUACCUAUAAGACUGGGAUAACUUCGGGAAGCCGGAGCUAAUACCGGAUAAUAUAUUGAACCGCAUGGUUCAAUAGUGAAAGACGGUUUUGCUGUCACUUAUAGAUGGAUCCGCGCCGCAUUAGCUAGUUGGUAAGGUAACGGCUUACCAAGGCAACGAUGCGUAGCCGACCUGAGAGGGUGAUCGGCCACACUGGAACUGAGACACGGUCCAGACUCCUACGGGAGGCAGCAGGAGGGAAUCUUCCGCAAUGGGCGAAAGCUUGACGGAGCAACGCCGCGUGAGUGAUGAAGGUCUUCGGAUCGUAAAACUCUGUUAUUAGGGAAGAACAAAUGUGUAAGUAACUAUGCACGUCUUGACGGUACCUAAUCAGAAAGCCACGGCUAACUACGUG